UGAGUAACGCGGUCGGGGAACCUCGCCCUGGUACCGGGGAUAGCAGCCGGAAACGGCUGAUAAUACCGCAUAAGCGCACGAAUGUCGCAUGACAUGGUGUGAAAAACUCCGGUGGUAUAGGAUGGACCCGCGUCUGAUUAGCCUGUUGGUGGGGUAAAAGCCUACCAAAGCGAAGAUCAGUAGCCGAGUUGAGAGACUGACCGGCCACAUUGGGACUGAGACACGGCCCAGACUCCUACGGGAGGCAGCAGAG
rnacentral:rRNA from 1 species